GUAAAAUUUUGUAUGGAGUUGGAACAGCUUCCCUUCGUUUGCCGCUAGGGGCGCUGUUCCAACUCUAUACAAAGAGUUA
rnacentral:pre_miRNA from 1 species